GACGAACGCUGGCGGCGUGCCUAAUACAUGCAAGUAGAACGCACAGGAUGCACCGUAGUUUACUACACCGUAUUCUGUGAGUUGCGAACGGGUGAGUAACGCGUAGGUAACCUGCCUGGUAGCGGGGGAUAACUAUUGGAAACGAUAGCUAAUACCGCAUAAGAACAUUUACUGCAUGGUAGAUGUUUAAAAGGUGCAAAUGCAUCACUACCAGAUGGACCUGCGUUGUAUUAGCUAGUAGGUGAGGUAACGGCUCACCUAGGCGACGAUACAUAGCCGACCUGAGAGGGUGAUCGGCCACACUGGGACUGAGACACGGCCCAGACUCCUACGGGAGGCAGCAGUAGGGAAUCUUCGGCAAUGGGGGGAACCCUGACCGAGCAACGCCGCGUGAGUGAAGAAGGUUUUCGGAUCGUAAAGCUCUGUUGUUAAGGAAGAACGAGUGUGAGAAUGGAAAAGUUCAAUACUGUGACGGUACUUAACCAGAAAGGACGGCUA
rnacentral:rRNA from 1 species